ACAUGUCUACAACAUAGAGUUAAUGAACUGAAUCCCAUUAGAAUUGCACAGUUAAGCACCCUUAGGCUAGAGUGGCACUGGGAUGGGUGACCGCACGGGAAGUCCUAGUGUUUUACAUGCC
rnacentral:rRNA from 1 species